GGUUAAGCGACUAAGCGUACACGGUGGAUGCCUAGGCAAUCAGAGGCGAUGAAGGACGUGCUAAUCUGCGAAAAGCGUCGGUAAGGUGAUAUGAACCGUUAUAACCGACGAUGUCCGAAUGGGGAAACCCAGUGCAAUUCGUUGCACUAUCGUUUGAUGAAUCCAUAGUCAAACGAGGCGAACCGGGGGAACUGAAACAUCUCAGUACCCCGAGGAAAAGAAAUCAACCGAGAUUCCCCUAGUAGCGGCGAGCGAACGGGGAGCAGCCCAGAGUCUUAAUCAGCAUCAGCAUCAGGAGAACGGUCUGGAAAGGCCGGCAAUAAAGGGUGAUAGCCCCGUAUCCGAAGGUGUUGGUGUUGUGAACUCGACGAGUAGGGCGGGACACGUGUUAUCCUGUCUGAAUAUGGGGGGACCAUCCUCCAAGGCUAAAUACUCCUGAUUGACCGAUAGUGAACCAGUACCGUGAGGGAAAGGCGAAAAGAACCCCGGCGAGGGGAGUGAAAUAGAACCUGAAACCGUGUACGUACAAGCAGUGGGAGCCUUGAUUUAUCAGGGUGACUGCGUACCUUUUGUAUAAUGGGUCAGCGACUUAUAUUCUGUAGCAAGGUUAACCGAAUAGGGGAGCCGUAGGGAAACCGAGUCUUAACUGGGCGAAUGAGUUGCAGGGUAUAGACCCGAAACCCGGUGAUCUAGCCAUGGGCAGGUUGAAGGUUGGGUAACACUAACUGGAGGACCGAACCGACUAAUGUUGAAAAAUUAGCGGAUGACUUGUGGCUGGGGGUGAAAGGCCAAUCAAACCGGGAGAUAGCUGGUUCUCCCCGAAAGCUAUUUAGGUAGCGCCUCGUGAACUCAUCUUCGGGGGUAGAGCACUGUUUCGGCUAGGGGGUCAUCCCGACUUACCAACCCGAUGCAAACUACGAAUACCGAAGAAUGUUAUCACGGGAGACACACGGCGGGUGCUAACGUUCGUCGUGAAGAGGGAAACAACCCAGACCGCCAGCUAAGGUCCCAAAGUCAUGGUUAAGUGGGAAACGAAGUGGGAAGGCUCAGACAGCCAGGAUGUUGGCUUAGAAGCAGCCAUCAUUUAAAGAAAGCGUAAUAGCUCACUGGUCGAGUCGGCCUGCGCGGAAGAUGUAACGGGGCUAAACCAUGCACCGAAGCUGCGGCAGCGACAUGUAAAUGUUGUUGGGUAGGGGAGCGUUCUGUAAGCCUGUGAAGGUGUGCUGCGAGGCAUGCUGGAGGUAUCAGAAGUGCGAAUGCUGACAUAAGUAACGAUAAUGCGGGUGAAAAACCCGCACGCCGGAAGACCAAGGGUUCCUGUCCAACGUUAAUCGGGGCAGGGUGAGUCGACCCCUAAGGCGAGGCAGAAAUGCGUAGUCGAUGGGAAACAGGUUAAUAUUCCUGUACUGGUGAUAAUUGCGAUGGGGGGACGGAGAAGGCUAGGCUGGCCGGGCGACGGUUGUCCCGGUUUAAGGAUGUAGGUGGGUGAAUUAGGCAAAUCCGGUUCGCUAUACACUGAGGUCUGAUGACGAGUCACUACGGUGGCGAAGUAGCUCAUGCCCCGCUUCCAGGAAAAGCCUCUAAGCUCUAGAUUAUCAUUAAUCGUACCCCAAACCGACACAGGUGGUCAGGUAGAGAAUACUCAGGCGCUUGAGAGAACUCGGGUGAAGGAACUAGGCAAAAUGGUGCCGUAACUUCGGGAGAAGGCACGCUGGCAUUAGGUGAAGUGGUUUACCCAUGGAGCUGAAGCCAGUCGCAGAUACCAGCUGGCUGCAACUGUUUAUUAAAAACACAGCACUGUGCAAACACGAAAGUGGACGUAUACGGUGUGACGCCUGCCCGGUGCUGGAAGGUUAAUUGAUGGGGUUAUCCGUAAGGAGAAGCUCUUGAUCGAAGCCCCAGUAAACGGCGGCCGUAACUAUAACGGUCCUAAGGUAGCGAAAUUCCUUGUCGGGUAAGUUCCGACCUGCACGAAUGGCGUAAUGAUGGCCAGACUGUCUCCACCCGAGACUCAGUGAAAUUGAACUCGCUGUGAAGAUGCAGUGUACCCGCGGCAAGACGGAAAGACCCCGUGAACCUUUACUAUAGCUUGACACUGAACAUUGAGCCUUGAUGUGUAGGAUAGGUGGGAGGCUUUGAAGUGUGGACGCCAGUCUGCAUGGAGCCAACCUUGAAAUACCACCCUUUAAUGUUUGAUGUUCUAACGUUGCCCCAUAAUCUGGGGUGCGGACAGUGUCUGGUGGGUAGUUUGACUGGGGCGGUCUCCUCCCAAAGCGUAACGGAGGAGCACGAAGGUUGGCUAAGCAUGGUCGGACAUCAUGCGGUUAGUGCAAAGGCAUAAGCCAGCUUGACUGCGAGAGUGACGGCUCGAGCAGGUACGAAAGUAGGUCUUAGUGAUCCGGUGGUUCUGAAUGGAAGGGCCAUCGCUCAACGGAUAAAAGGUACUCCGGGGAUAACAGGCUGAUACCGCCCAAGAGUUCAUAUCGACGGCGGUGUUUGGCACCUCGAUGUCGGCUCAUCACAUCCUGGGGCUGAAGUAGGUCCCAAGGGUAUGGCUGUUCGCCAUUUAAAGUGGUACGCGAGCUGGGUUUAGAACGUCGUGAGACAGUUCGGUCCCUAUCUGCCGUGGGCGUUGGAAGAUUGAAAGGGGCUGCUCCUAGUACGAGAGGACCGGAGUGGACGCACCGCUGGUGUUCGGGUUGUCAUGCCAAUGGCACUGCCCGGUAGCUAAGUGCGGAAGAGAUAACCGCUGAAAGCAUCUAAGCGGGAAACUUGCCUUGAGAUGAGUCUUCCCUGACUCUUUAAGGGUCCUAAAGGAACGUUUAAGACGAAGACGUUGAUAGGCUGGGUGUGUAAGCGUAGCGAUACGUUGAGCUAACCAGUACUAAUGAACCGUGAGGCUUAACCUG
rnacentral:rRNA from 1 species